rnacentral:rRNA from 1 species
UGCCAGCAGCCGCGGUAAUACGAAGGGAGCUAGCGUUAUUCGGAAUCACUGGGCUUAAAGGGUGCGUAGGCGGGAGAGUAAGUAUCUUGUGAAAGCCCACGGCUCAACCGUGGAAUUGCAGGGUAUACUGCUCUCCUUGAGGCGGGUAGAGGUUAUCGGAACUCUAGGUGUAGCGGUGAAAUGCGUAGAUAUCUAGAGGAACGCCAAUGGCGAAGGCAGAUAACUGGGCCCGUUCUGACGCUGAGGCACGAAAGCGUGGGUAGCAAACGGGAUUAGAUA